rnacentral:pre_miRNA from 1 species
AGUAGAAUUGCUGGACCAUAUGGUAACUCUGGGUUUAAGUUUCUAAGAAAUUGCCACAAUGUUUUCUAAAGUAGCUGCACCAGUUGGAUUCCCACCAGCCCU